ACCGGAUAAUCCGUGAACGCUGGAAUGCCUCACGGUUGAAAGCUUUAGCGUCUGAGGAUGGGUCUGCGGCCGAUUAGGUAGUUGCUGGGGUAACGUCCCAACAAGCCGAUAAUCGGUACGGGUUGUGAGAGCAAGAGCCCGGAGAUGGAUUCUGAGACACGAAUCCAGGCCCUACGGGGCGCAGCAGGCGCGAAAACUUUACACUGCGCGAAAGCGCGAUAAGGGGACCUCGAGUGCGUGCGCAAUGCGUACGCUUUUCAGAUGCCUAAAAAGCAUGUGGAAUAAGGGCCGGGCAAGACCGGUGCCAGCCGCCGCGGUAACACCGGCGGCUCAAGUGGUGGCCGCUAUUAUUGGGCUUAAAGGGUCCGUAGCCGGACCAGUUAGUCCCUUGGGAAAUCUUACGGCUUAACCGUAAGGCUGCCAAUGGAUACUGCUGGUCUUGGGACCGGGAGAGGUAAGAGGUACUUCAGGGGUAGGAGUGAAAUCCUGUAAUCCUUGAGGGACCGCCAGUGGCGAAGGCGUCUUACUAGAACGGGUCCGACGGUGAGGGACGAAAGCUAGGGGCACGAACCGGAUUAGAUACCCGGGUAGUCCUAGCCGUAAACGAUGCGAGCUAGGUGUCACGUGGAUUGCGAAUCCAUGUGGUGCCGAAGGGAAACCGUGAAGCUCGCCGCCUGGGAAGUACGGCCGCAAGGCUGAAACUUAAG
rnacentral:rRNA from 1 species